GCCGACUUGCCAAGUCUAAUUUGGGAAACUUUGAAGGACGGGCUUCACUAUAUCAGUGAUUGAUUUGUUUACAUGAAAUAGAAGCCCACUCCAGCUAGUUUAAGCAAAAAAUGUAAUUCAAUAUAAGGCGUUAGAACUAUCUCACAGAUCUCAAGGGCAGGCAAGUCGCACAAGGACCUUACACUCAGGACUGGUGUUGGGGGAAUGCCCACCUUUCCGUCCACUUCUCUCAAAACACCAAUUUCCUUUCUGUCUUUCAGACACGUGUCCCAAGCAGCCCUCCUUGGCAAAUCUACAUUUCCUUACCCAACCAGGACCUGUGGCAAACAGUCUGGCCUCUCCUUGUCCUAAUUCCAAAGUUCAGGAAUCUGACUGGCCCAGCCUGGCCUCUAGAGUGGUUGCCUGUGAGUCAGGUACCUGCUUCUGCCCCAGUUAACUGGACAAGGAGGCUGGGCUGCAUAGAAGAACCAAGGACCCAGGAGACUCCCUGGGCUUGUGGGCUGAGCAGGUACCUACUGAAGAAACCUGAAGAAAACUGAAGAAACCUACUUCAGUUUGGCCGGUCCUGGGGACUAGGAGCAGGCCAGACAUGGAAUUUUUUCCCAGUCCUUGCACUUCAAGUCAGAGAAUCAUCAUGAUCCCACGAAACACCAGCUCAGCCCCCACAGGUGCUAUACUUUUGACGAGAUGGAACACAAAUGGAUUACUAUGCAGUUCUCUUUUUUCCAGGUCAGCAAAGUCCAAACGCAGGGGCAACUGAGUGUACCUUUUAAGGUGAAUGUCUUGAACUCCAGUUGCUCCGCCUCCUUUGGGUUGCUAUGACCUUUUUCCUAAUCUUAAAGAGAGGAAGAGCUUUAAGGGCCAGAUGGGGUCUCUGGUUUCCCACGGGGCUCCCCAAAGGCAGCCCUUCUUGGCAAAACCCUGGGCCCAUGCCAGGACUGAGUCAUAGAAGGGAAAGUACCCUGGGUGGAAGUUGGACAGUGACCUUGGGCAAGCCCCUUCCCUCCUUCGCUGGGUCUUAGUGCUUCCUCUGAGAAGCAAGGAGGUUUAACUCCACCUCAUUCGUGCCUUCAUUCAAUAAACACCAAAUGCAUUCCUGGCAUUUGCUUGGUAUGUGGGCAGAUAAAUAGAGUAAUUGGAUUCAGUGCCUGGAAGAACCCACAGUCAGGUUGGGUGGGGAGAAGGCACCUAAGGGCCUGUAAUUACAGAUAUGUUUAAGAAGGGCUAGAUGAUGUGGACAGUCCCUGCCCACUCCGGGAUCCCUAGAAUGUGUCAGUGCAGGGGAAGGAAUACAUAAGUAACUUGGCAAGGUCACAGGGUUACACCCAGAAAAAUGUUAGCCCUUGAAGUUAGGGACAGCCCUGGGCCUAGCUCCUGAUCCUUCUCCAUCCUACAGAAAACCUGCUGAACAUGGAUUUUGGAGUUGAGCCAAUUCAGAUUCCAACCCCUGAGCAGACACCAACUGGAACUGGAAGCGUCACUCUCCGGGCCUCAGUUUCCUCCUUUAUCCAAGGGGGAUAGGCCCUGGGAUCCUAGGACAUAUGAGGGUUCCAUAAGAUAAGUAUAAUGUGUAUCAUGUCAAGAGCUCAGCACAGGGCCUGGCCCAUUGUACGACUCCACCAUCAAGGCAGGAGGUCGAAUGGACAUCUGUCCACUCUGGAAACACACCCACCUCUUGCCUCCCUUGGCUGGUCCCAGGGUUGGCUCUCUUUCUGGGGCCCUCUUACCCAAGAGGUCUUGCCUUAGUCCUCUCUUGACCCUUUGAAUGCUCUCAGGGGCUUCCUCUUCUCAGGCCAGAGCCUCCCCAUUGUACACCUCUGCUCUACUGAUCUGGCUGUGAACUGGUAUGUGCCAGAGACAGGGAGGAGGCUGGUAGGGCUGGGAUUCCUUGGGGGAAAGCUGGCCAGAGCUGCAGGUUCCCCGACUCUCUUCCCAGCAUUAAAUUAGCACUGGAGCUGCCUGGUCUUGCCCAAUAACUUGCCCAGGACAAGGUGACAUCCUUCCUCCCUUCUUUGAGGCAGGACUGAGUGGCUUCCUAGAAGAAGACAGGCAGGACAAGCCAAGACGCACCCAAAGAAUGGGGGAGGGAACCUGAUUGGGGGAGAAGAUGGGAGAGUCUGGAGCUUGGGGCAGCAGUGGAUGGAACAGGUUUGCCCACAUUCCUGGCAGGCCCCAGGAUUCCAAAGCACUUUCUGUUUUUGUCACUGCCCCACCAAUCACAUACUCUGCCAGGGCCACAAGGCACCAGGCUUUUCAGAGCACCAAGCCCUUCCACCUUCACUUCUCAUUCUUCACACCAAAAGAUGGGUACUACUGGCUCUGUUUUACAGAUGAAGAAAUUGAGGCUCACAGAGGAAGAAUCACAUGCCCCAACUCGGAAGGGCUGAUACAAUUAACAUUUAAUGGCCAGGUGUGGUUGCUCAUGCCUGUAAUUCCAGCAUUUUGGGAGGCCGAGGUGGGUGGAUCACUUGAGCCCAGGAGUUCAAGACCAGCCUGGGCAACAUGGUGAAACCUGACUCUACAAAAAAUACAAAAAUUAGCUGGGCGUGAUGGCACGUGGCUGUAGUCCCAGCUACCCAGUAGGCUGAGGCAGAAGGAUCACCUGGGCUCCAGUGGUCGAGGCUACAGUGCGCCAUGAUUGUACCACUGCACUGCAGCCUGAGAGACAGAAUUAGAUCCUAUCAAAAAAUAAAGUAAAAUAGCCAUUCACUAAGAACUACUAUGAACCAGGUGGAUUUCAUACAAAAAUCAUCUCUGUUCCCAAUAUCCCAGCAAGGUGCCCAUUUUACAGAUGAGCAGACCAAAAUGCAACCUGAUGAAAGCACUUGCCCAAGGGCCCAGAACUAGCAAGCACAGAGCAAAGAUGUGAACCUAGAUUUGUUGGACUCCAGAUCCUACCCCUUCUCAAUGUUAAAGGCAAGGAAGCGGAGGCUCAGUAAGGUUCAAACCAUGUCCAAGGUCAUACCACCAGCAAGGCAAAGCCAGUUUUCAACCCAGGUCUGUCUAACCCUGCAACUUCUGUGUUUGCCGUAUGCUACAUUGUCUCAAUAAACCUUUUUUUCAUGGAGCAACUGGCUGAUGCCAAAUGACUACAACUGUAUCUCAAACAGAUAAAGAUCCAGGACAGAAAGGGUCAUGAACUAUUAUUACCAUUAUCAUCAACGCUAUUAUUAAUUGCUAACAUAGCAGGGUCAGCAUUUAUACUGUAUGAUUCAGAUUUGCAGAAAUAAAACUUUCCUUCCACAACUGAACCCAACGCGAUCACA
rnacentral:lncRNA from 1 species